UGUGUUGUUGUUAGGUGAAGUGGUUUGGAAUGGCCUGCCGGAGAAGGUGAGAGUCCUGUAGUUGAAGACAAUGGCAUGUGGGUUGUUGGGUUGCCCGAGUAGCAGCGGGCUCGUGGAAUCUGUUGUGAAUCUGCCGGGACCACCCGGUAAGCCUAAAUACUCAGUGUGACCGAUAGUGUAUGAGUACCGUGAGGGAAUGGUGAAAA
rnacentral:rRNA from 1 species